rnacentral:rRNA from 1 species
AAACCAACAGGGAUUGCCUUAGUAGCGGCGAGUGAAGCGGCAAAAGCUCAAAUUUGAAAUCUGGCUCUUUCAGAGUCCGAGUUGUAAUUUGAAGAAGGUAUCUUUGGGUCUGGCUCUUGUCUAUGUUUCUUGGAACAGAACGUCACAGAGGGUGAGAAUCCCGUGCGAUGAGAUGAUCCAGGCCUAUGUAAAGUUCCUUCGAAGAGUCGAGUUGUUUGGGAAUGCAGCUCUAAGUGGGUGGUAAAUUCCAUCUAAAGCUAAAUAUUGGCGAGAGACCGAUAGCGAACAAGUACAGUGAUGGAAAGAUGAAAAGAACUUUGAAAAGAGAGUGAAAAAGUACGUGAAAUUGUUGAAAGGGAAGGGCUUGAGAUCAGACUUGGUAUUUUGUAUGUUACUUCUUCGGGGGUGGCCUCUACAGUUUAUCGGGCCAGCAUCAGUUUGGGCGGUAGGAGAAUUGCGUUGGAAUGUGGCACGGCUUCGGUUGUGUGUUAUAGCCUUCGUCGAUACUGCCAGCCUAGACUGAG